rnacentral:rRNA from 1 species
CGAUGAAACCGCCCUCGGGCGGACAUGAAGUGGCGAACGGGUGAGUAACACGUAUCCAACCUGCCCUUUACUCGGGGAUAGCCUUUCGAAAGAAAGAUUAAUACCCGAUAGUAUAAUGAUUCCGCAUGGUUUCAUUAUUAAAGGAUUCCGGUAAAGGAUGGGGAUGCGUUCCAUUAGGUUGUUGGCGGGGUAACGGCCCACCAAGCCUUCGAUGGAUAGGGGUUCUGAGAGGAAGGUCCCCCACAUUGGAACUGAGACACGGUCCAAACUCCUACGGGAGGCAGCAUG